rnacentral:rRNA from 1 species
GACGAACGCUGGCGGCGUGCUUAACACAUGCAAGUCGAACGGAAAGGCCCUGCUUUUGUGGGGUGCUCGAGUGGCGAACGGGUGAGUAACACGUGAGUAACCUGCCCUUGACUUUGGGGUAACUUCAGGAAACUGGGGCUAAUACCGGAUAGGAGCUCCUGCUGCAUGGUGGGGGUUGGAAAGUUUCGGCGGUUGGGGAUGGACUCGCGGCUUAUCAGCUUGUUGGUGGGGUAGUGGCUUACCAAGGCUUUGACGGGUAGCCGGCCUGAGAGGGUGACCGGCCACAUUGGGACUGAGAUACGGCACAGACUCCAACGGGAGGCAGCAGUGGGGAAUAUUGCACAAUGGGCGGAAGCCUGAUGCAGCAACGCCGCGUGCGGGAUGACGGCCUUCGGGUUGUAAACCGAUUUCGCCUGUGACGAAGCGUGAGUGACGGUAAUGGGUAAAGAAGCACCGGCUAACUACGUG